rnacentral:rRNA from 1 species
UACGUAGGGUGCGAGCGUUGUCCGGAAUUACUGGGCGUAAAGAGCUUGUAGGUGGUUUGUCGCGUUGUUCGUGAAAACCCACAGCUCAACUGUGGGCUUGCGGUCGAUACGGGCAGGCUAGAGUUCGGUAGGGGAGACUGGAAUUCCUGGUGUAGCGGUGAAAUGCGCAGAUAUCAGGAAGAACACCCGUGGCGAAGGCGGCUCUCUGGUACGUGACUGACGCUGAGACGCGAAAGCGUGGGGAGCAAACAGG